UACGAAGGGGGCUAGCGUUGUUCGGAAUUACUGGGCGUAAAGCGCACGUAGGCGGAUAUUUAAGUCAGGGGUGAAAUCCCAGAGCUCAACUCUGGAACUGCCUUUGAUACUGGGUAUCUUGAGUAUGGAAGAGGUAAGUGGAAUUGCGAGUGUAGAGGUGAAAUUCGUAGAUAUUCGCAGGAACACCAGUGGCGAAGGCGGCUUACUGGUCCAUAACUGACGCUGAGGUGCGAAAAGCGUGGGGGAGCAAACAGG
rnacentral:rRNA from 1 species